rnacentral:rRNA from 1 species
GCUAAAAAUCUAGCCUAUAAAUUUUUAAUACCUUCCACCUUCUUAAUCAAAAUAAAUCAUUUUAUAAUUUAAGUAAAGGCGAUUGAAAAAAUUCUUAGAGCCUCAACUUUAGUACCGCAAGGGAAAGAUGAAAUAUUAAUGAAAUACUUUAAGCACAAAACAGUAGAGUUUAAAGCUCGUACCUUUUGCAUCAUGGUCUAGCAAGUCCUUAUCAAGCACAAAGACAUUUUAGUUUGACUUCCCGAAACUAGGCGAGCUACUUCAAAACAACCUUUAGGGCCAACCCGUCUCUGUUGCAAAAGAGUGGGGAGAUUUUCAAGUAGAAGUGAUAAGCCAAUCGAGCCUAGCGAUAGCUGGUUAUUCAAGAAAAGAAUCUUAGUUCUGCUUUAAGCUUCCUCCUGAUCCUUAACAACUAUUAAGCUUAAAAUUAUUCAAUAAGGCCAGCUUAUUUGAAAAGGUACACCUAAACUUAGGGU